rnacentral:rRNA from 1 species
GACGAACGCUGGCGGCGUGCUUAACACAUGCAAGUCGAACGGAAAGGCCCUGCUUUUGUUGGUUGCUCGAGUGGCGAACGGGUGAGUAACACGUGAGUAACCUGCCCUUGACUUUGGGAUAACUUCAGGAAACUGGGGCUAAUACCGGAUAUGAGCUCCUGCUGCAUGUUGGGGGUUGGAAAGUUUCGGCGGUUGGGGAUGGACUCGCGGCUUAUCAGCUUGUUGGUGGGGUAGUGGCUUACCAAGGCUUUGACGGGUAGCCGGCCUGAGAGGGUGACCGGCCACAUUGGGACUGAGAUACGGCCCAGACGCCUACGGGAGGCAGCAGUGGGGAAUAUUGCACAAUGGGCGGAAGCCUGAUGCAGCAACGCCGCGUGCGGGAUGACGGCCUUCGGGUUGUAAACCGCUUUCGCCUGUGACGAAGCGUGAGUGACGGUAAUGGGUAAAGAAGCACCGGCUAACUACGUG